rnacentral:rRNA from 1 species
GGCAAACUGCUGAGUAACACAUCGAUAACCUACCCUAAGGUUCGGAAUACCCUCGGGAGACUGAGUAUAAGACCGGAUAGGGAAGAAAUUCUGGAAGGAAUUCUUCUUUAAACGCAAGGCCUUAGGAUGGGACGGCGGCGGAUUAGGUAGUUGGUGAGGUAAUGGCUCACCAAGCCAAAGAUCUGUAGGGGCCCUGAAAGGGGGAGCCCCCAGAAGGGCACUGAGAUACUGGCCCUAGCCCUACGGGGUGCAGCAGGCGCGAAAACUUUCCAAUGCACGCAAGUGUGAGAAGGAAAUCCUGAGUGCUUAUGUUUAACAUAGGCUUUUGCCAUGGGUAAAUACCAUGGAGAAUAAGUGGGGGGCAAUACCUGUGCCAGCCGCCGCGGUAACCCAGGACCCACAAGUGGCAACCGCUUUUAUUUGGCCUAAAGCGUCCGUAGCUGGUUUUGUAAAUCUUCUGUGAAAUCGUUCGGCUUAACCGAAUGGCGAGCAGGAGACACUGCAUCACUAGGGACCGGGAGGCGUGAGGAGUAUUCCGGGGGGAGCGGUAAAAUGUUAUAAUCCCCGAAGGACUACCUGUGGCGAAGGCGCCUCACGAGAACGGAUCCGACAGUGAGGGACGAAAGCUAGGGGAGCAAAACGGAUUAGAUACCCGAGUAGUCCUAGCCGUAAACUCUGCAAGCUAGGUGUCGCGUAAUCUUCGGGAUUGCGCGGUGUCGUAGUGAAGAUGUUAAGCUUGCCGCCUGGGAAGUAUGGUCGCAAGGCUGAAACUUAAAGGAAUUGGCGGGGGAGCACUACAAGGGGUGCGGCGUGCGGUUUAAUCCAACUCAACGCGGAGAAUCUCACCAGGAACGACGGCAGGAUGAAGGUCAGUCUGAAGGGCUUACCUAACGAGCCGAGAGGUAGUGCAUGGCCGUCGUCAGCUCGUGCCGUGAGGUGUCUUGUCAAGUCAAGCAACGAGCGAGACCUGUGCCUACAAUUGCUACCAGGUACCACGGUAUGACUGGGCACAUUGUAGGAACUGCCCUCGAAAGGGGGAGGAAGGUGCAGGCAACGGUAGGUCUGUAUGCUCCGAAUUUUCUGGGCAACACGCGCGCAACAAUGGUAGGGACAAUGUGAUGCAACUCCGAAAGGAGAAGCUAAUCCUCGAAACCCUAUCCCAGUGCAGAUCGAGGGUUGUAACUCACCCUCGUGACGUCGGAAUCCCUAGUAAUCGGGUGUUAGCAUCGCCCGGUGAAUAUGUCCCUGCUCCUUGCACACACCGCCCGUCAAACCACCCGAGCAGGGUUUAGAUAAGGCUCCAUUUUUAAUGAAGUCGAAUCUAAGCUCAGCGAGGAGGGUUAAGUCGUCACAAGGUA